rnacentral:sRNA from 1 species
AGCAGCCGCGGUAAUUCCAGCUCCAAUAGCGUAUAUUAAAGUUGUUGCAGUUAAAAAGCUCGUAGUUGAAUUUCGGGGUUAGUAGGUUGGUCAUGCCUCUGGUAUGUACUGGUCUCACUGAUUCCUCCUUCCUGAUGAGCCGUAAUGCCAUUAAUUUGGUGUUGCGGGGAAUUUGGACUGUUACUUUGAAAAAUUAGAGUGUUUAAAGCAAGCUAACGCUUGAAUACAUUAGCAUGGAAUAAUGAAAUAGGACGUUCGAUCCUAUUUUGUUGGUUUCUAGGAUUGACGUAAUGAUUAAUAGGGAUAGUUGGGGGCAUUAGUAUUCAAUUGUCAGAGGUGAAAUUCUUGGAUUUAUUGAAGACUAACUACUGCGAAAGCAUUUGCCAAGGAUGUUUUCAUUAAUCAAGAACGAAAGUUAGGGGAUCGAAGACGAUCAGAUACCGUCGUAGUCUUAACCAUAAACUAUGCCGACUAGGGAUCGGAUGAUGUUAAUUUUUAAUGACUCAUUCGGCGC